rnacentral:rRNA from 1 species
ACCCGUUGAUCCUGCGGGAGAAUGCUGCUAUUAGGAUUCGAUUAAGCCAUGCAAGUCAAGGGGGUCUUCGGACCACCGGCGAAAGGCUCAGUAACACGUCGCUAACCUGCCCUAUGGUCAGGGAUAGCCUCGGGAAACUGAGGGUAAUACCUGAUAGGUGCUCUCUGCUGGAACGCUUGAGCAUUGAAACUCGUGCCGUAGGAUGGGGUGGCGGCGGAUUAGAUUGUUGGUGAGGUAACGGCUCACCAAGUCGACGAUCCGUAGGGGCGAUGAGAGUCGUAGCCCCGAGAGGGACACUGAGAUACUGGUCCCAGCCCUACGGGGUGCAGCAGGCGCGAAACCUCUACAAUGCACGAAAGUGUGAUAGGGGAAUCCUAAGUGCUCAUGCUUUGCAUGGGCUUUUGAUGAGAGUAAACAUCUCGUCGAAUAAGUGGUGGGCAAGACUGGUGCCAGCAGCCGCGGUAACACCAGCGCCACGAGUGGCAUUCGCAUUUAUUGGGUCUAAAGCGUUCGUAGCCGGAUGCGUGCAUCCUUUGUGAAAUCGGACAUCUCAAGUGUUCGAACUGCAGGGGACACGACGCGUCUAGGGACCGGGAGGAGCUAGAGGUAUGCCGUGGGGAGUGGUAAAAUAUGAUAAUCCGCGGUAGACCACCUGUGGCGAAGGCGUCUAGCUAGAACGGAUCCGACGGUGAGGAACGAAGGCCAGGGGAGCGAACCGGAUUAGAUACCCGAGUAGUCCUGGCAGUAAACGCUGCGUGCUAGGUGUAGCGUAUCUUAGUGGAUACGCUGUGUCGAAACGAAGGUGUUAAGCACGCCACCUGGGAUACGGCCGCAAGGCUGAAACUUAAAGGAAUUGGCGGGGGAGCACUACAAGGGGUGCGGCGUGCGGUUUAAUCUAACUUCACGCAGAGAAUCUCACCAGCGGCGACGGCAGGAUGGUAGUCAGUCUAAAGGGCUUACUGGACGAGCCGAGAGGUAGUGCAUGGCCGUCGUCAGCUCGUGCCGUAAGGUGUCCUGUUAAGUCAGGCAACGAGCGAGACCUGCGCUCACAAUUGCCAGCGUGUUCUACGGAAUGAACGGGCACAUUGUGAGGACUGCCUCGGAAACGGGGAGGAAGGUGCAGGCAACGGUAGGUCUGUAUGCUCCGAAUCUGCUGGGCAACACGCGCGCAACAAUGGUAAGGACAAUGGGAUACUACUCCGAAAGGAGACGUUAAACCUCGAAACCUUAUCCUAGUCCAGAUUGAGGGUUGUAACCCACCCUCAUGACGCCGGAAUCCCUAGUAAUCGGACGUCAACAUCGUCCGGUGAAUACGUCCCUGCUCCUUGCACACACCGCCCGUCAAACCACUCGAGCAGAGUCUCGGUGAGUCUUAGACUUUGUGUUUAAGCCGAACCGGGGCUCAGUGAGAUGGGUUAAGUCGUCACAAGGUA